AGCUUCAUGUAUAAAGAAAAGCCUUUUAUUAGAA
rnacentral:tRNA from 1 species